CGAAAGAUGAAAAGCACUUUGGAAAGAGAGUUAAACAGUACGUGAAAUUGUUGAAAGGGAAGCGCUUGCAACCAGACUUGCGUGUUGUCGAUCAUCCGGGGUUCUCCCCGGUGCACUCGACCUCACUCAGGCCAGCAUCGGUUUCGGUGGUUGGAUAAAGGCCUUGGGAAUGUGGCUCCUCUCGGGGAGUGUUAUAGCCCUCGGUGCAAUGCAGCCUACCGGGACCGAGGACCGCGCUUCGGCUAGGAUGCUGGCGUAAUGGUUGUAAGCGACCCGUCUUGAAACACGGACCAAGGAGUCUAACAUCUAUGCGAGUGUUUGGGUGUCAAACCCAUACGCGUAAUGAAAGUGAACGGAGGUGAGAACCCUUAAGGGUGCAUCAUCGACCGAUCCUGAUGUCUUCGGAUGGAUUUGAGUAAGAGCAUAGCUGUUGGGACCCGAAAGAUGGUGAACUAUGCCUGAAUAGGGUGAAGCCAGAGGAAACUCUGGUGGAGGCUCGCAGCGGUUCUGACGUGCAAAUCGAUCGUCAAAUUUGGGUAUAGGGGCGAAAGACUAAUCGAACCAUUGGUAACCUUGCUAGGUGGUUGGGAGGGCGCUCAAAGUGCAGCCCUAGUCCUGUAGCCAGGGCAACACUGUCAAAUUGUUCGGGGACCACCCGCUUUAAAUUCUAAGCUACCGCAGCCUGGGCGAAAGCCCUGGUGCGCACCAGGUUAACGGCCUCGGGUAUGGUAACAACGCUUAGAUAGGGUCAAUCCGCAGCGAAAGGCCUACGGGUGCCGCACGAGGCACCUAUGGUCUACACGUUCACAGACUAGACGGCAGUGGGUUCAGGCGCGAGAGCGCCUGGGCUUAAGAUAUAGUCGGGCCCCCCAGAGAUGGGGCGGGCAGAAGAAGGCUGUGGGAGGCUACCCCUCCAGGGUCCCACAGCCCCGAGCUGCCCGGUGGAGGCGGCGCCAGCAGGCGCCCCU
rnacentral:rRNA from 1 species